rnacentral:rRNA from 1 species
AUUGAACGCUGGCGGCAGGCCUAACACAUGCAAGUCGAGCGAGCGGCGGACGGGUGAGUAAUGUCUGGGAAACUGCCUGAUGGAGGGGGAUAACUACUGGAAACGGUAGCUAAUACCGCAUACCAUCAGAUGUGCCCAUAUGGGAGUAGCUAGUAGGUGGGGUAACGGCUCACCUAGGCGACGAUCCCUAGCUGGUCUGAGAGGAUGACCAGCCACACUGGAACUGAGACACGGUCCAGACUCCUCCGGGAGGUAGCAGUGGUGAAUAUUGGACAAUGGGCGCAAGCCUGAUGCAGCCAUGCCGCGUGUUGGAAGAAGGCCUUCGGGUUGUAAAGCACUUUCAGCGGGGAGGCGUUACCCGCAGAAGAAGCACCGGCUAACUCCGUGCCAGCAGCCGCGGUAAUAC